GAGAAAUGAGGAAACUUGCAUUUUCUGAAACUGUGUGACUGCUAAAGAUCCAACUCUGAUCUCGCUCUGAUU